UACGAAGGGGGCUAGCGUUGCUCGGAAUCACUGGGCGUAAAGGGUGCGUAGGCGGGUCUUUAAGUCAGGGGUGAAAUCCUGGAGCUCAACUCCAGAACUGCCUUUGAUACUGAGGAUCUUGAGUCCGGGAGAGGUGAGUGGAACUGCGAGUGUAGAGGUGAAAUUCGUAGAUAUUCGCAAGAACACCAGUGGCGAAGGCGGCUCACUGGCCCGGUACUGACGCUGAGGCGCGAAAGCUAGGGGAGCAAACGGGG
rnacentral:rRNA from 1 species